GCCUGAAGGGGGGACGACCCGGUCAGGGCACUUUCAGGACGCCUGACCGGCAUGGGCUUGGUGACCUCCUGGCCCCGUGGAGUUUCGGCUUUUCUCCAGCCCGGGGCGAGGAAGCUUUGAGGGAAACUCCUCUGAGAUACUAUCAUAUCUAUAAACUGAAGCACAGAGAAGUUAAGCCACUUGCCUGAAAUCACACACUGGGAAAUGUUGAGGCUAGGAUUCAGGCGUGGAGUCUGUGUUUUACCAAGUACCCCCUGUUGUUCUCAACAUGGCCUCAAUUUCUCUGGCUCUAAAAUGGGGCCAACAGCCUACUUCUCUCCUUUAUCACAGAGCCUGGCAGAAAUGAACUGGCUCGUAGAAGAUCGAGAGUGGGGUUCUGUCUGAGUCAGUCUCCUUCCAGCCUCAGAAGAUCCUGGCUGGAGUCAGGCCACUGGGAGCUGGGGGUAGGACUUUUUCUAUCAAGCUGCCAGUUGUGGGCUACUCUGGAUGAAAGCCGCUUCCUGGAUUCUCUGAGGGUCUCCCCAUUCUACCUGGCAUCCCACCCACUGCCCUUGCCACAGAUCCUGUUAUCAGGGCCUGUUUCAUGACAGUCAUGGGCCUGCUGCCAAGCAGGAGUCCAUAGAACACCUGCCCUUAGGCCCGAGGGCAAAUCCCAGGCCCUUCUCACCUAUUCCUGGGAACAAAUCUAAAAUCCCCGGUCAUUACCCCCAGGAAGGCAAAUAAAGCCAUUCAACAUGCAGUUCUAGGCUCCUAUGCCGUGCGAGGCUGAAAAGAGGCUGGAACAGGGCAUGCAGGCCUGGUUCCCUAUCCCAACUCAGGAUCCAUGGCUCUGUGACCCUGGGGCACCACUGCACCUUCAGAACCUCAGAGUCCCAUCAUCACUUUUGACAGAGCCCCUCUUUGGAAGGCUGUUAUAGGAUUAGAGAGAAGCUCUUAACUUAGUUUUCUGUUCUUUCUGCCCUCCUACCCCCAGCCUUCCUCUUUCUUGCCAUUCCAGUCUCAGCUUUAAUGUUACCUCCUCAGGAAGGACCUCCCUGACCACUUGCUCACUCAGUCUAAAGCAAGGGCCAGCAAACUUUUUCUGUAAAGAGCCAAACUGUAAAUAUUUUAGGUUUUGUGGCAUUCUGAUCUCUGUUGCAACAAUUCAACUCUGCUGUUGCAGUGGGAAAACUUAGAUGAUUUAAAUAAGAGUGACUUUGUUCCAAUAAAACUUUAUGGAUAUUGA